rnacentral:misc_RNA from 1 species
AACGUAUCUCGGCGAGGUCCGAACCGCCCUGCUCCGGUCGAGAGGCCGUGUAGCGGGCGAUCGGCCCCGUCAACCUUCACAAACCCCACCGUGCACUUUCACGGCGGAGGGCGGCUUUUGGCGAGAGCCUGGCCGUCUGAAGCCGUUCCACAAACCCCAGCAUUUAAACGAAUGAGGUGCGUCCACCCGAGUCGCCUAAAAACAAAACAACUUUCAACAACGGAUCUCUUGGCUCUCGCAUCGAUGAAGAACGCAGCGAAAUGCGAUAAGUAAUGUGAAUUGCAGAAUUCAGUGAAUCAUCGAAUCUUUGAACGCACCUUGCGCUCCUUGGUAUUCCGAGGAGCAUGCCUGUUUGAGUGUCUUGAAGUCAUCAACCCGAGCCGUUUUACUGCGGCCCAUGGUUGGAUGUGGGGCGUGCUGCCGCGAGGCUGCUCCCCUCAAAUGUGUCGGUUGGGCCUGUGGGUCGAACUCGAAAGGGCGUUGUACCAUCCUCGCUCCCUCGAGAUGCCUCCCCUCCCGUGCCCCUCCACGACCUGCCUCUGAA